GUGGGGAAUCUUGCGCAAUGGGCGAAAGCCUGACGCAGCCAUGCCGCGUGAAUGAUGAAGGUCUUAGGAUUGUAAAAUUCUUUCACCGGGGACGAUAAUGACGGUACCCGGAGAAGAAGCUCCGGCUAACUUCGUGCCAGCAGCCGCGGUAAUACGAAGGGGGCUAGCGUUGCUCGGAAUUACUGGGCGUAAAGGGCGCGUAGGCGGACAGUUUAGUCAGAGGUGAAAGCCCAGGGCUCAACCUUGGAAUUGCCUUUGAUACUGGCUGUCUUGAGUACGGGAGAGGUGAGUGGAACUCCGAGUGUAGAGGUGAAAUUCGUAGAUAUUCGGAAGAACACCAGUGGCGAAGGCGACUCACUGGCCCGUUACUGACGCUGAGGCGCGAAAGCGUGGGGAGCAAACAGGAUUAGAUACCCCGGUAGUCC
rnacentral:rRNA from 1 species